CCCUGGAGAGCAGAGGGCUUGGAGAAAGCUGCUCGUGCAGAGCAUCCCCAAAGCCCUCAGCAUUGCUCCUACUUGACAGGCACCGUGUGGCCUCCUGGUGCGUCGGCUGCUUUACGGUUUGCUCUUUACACUGUGACUCUCACCAAGCACGUUUGGUUUUAUGAAGCAGCAGAGAACCAUGGGCAGCAUGGUGGGACACCAGUGCCUUAUCAAAGCCUGGAAAUAGAAAAAAGAAAUAGAAAAAAGCACUGCACAGGAACUGUUCAGAGGAGGGAGCAUUGUUGGCGUGCCAGCUGUCUGCCAUGGCGUUGCAUCAGCAGCAGUCUGGCUCUGAAAGGGACUGGGAGACUUGGGCAGCCUGAUCUGGUGGGCGGCAGGCAGCCCAUGGCAUGGGUUGGGGCUAGAGGGGCUUGGAAGUCCCUUCCAGCCAGCCGUGGUGUGAGGCCAUGACUCUGAUCUUUAAGGUCCCUUCCAAUCCAACCAUUCUAUGGUUCCAUGGUUCUGUGACCUUUAAGGACCCUUACAACCCAACCCUGCUGUGAUUCCAUGAUUCAAGAACGCUUCCAACUCAACCACUUUAUAAUUUUAUGGUUCUGUGACCUUUAAGAACCCUUCCAACCCAAGCAUUCUAUAAUUCUAUAGUUCUGUGACCUUUAGGAAUCCCUCAAACCCAACCAUGCUGUGAUUCCACAAUUCUCUCAUCUUUAAGGUCCCUUCCACCCCAACCAUGCCGUGAUUCCACAAUUCUCUCAUCUUUAAGGUCCCUUCCACCCCAACCAUGCCGUGAUUCCACAAUUCUCUCAUCUUUAAGAUCCCUUCCACCCCAACCAUGCCGUGAUUCCACAAUUCUCUGAUCUUUAAGAUCCCUUCCACCCCAACCAUGCCGUGAUUCCACAAUUCUCUGAUCUUUAAGGUCCCUUCCACCCCAACCAUGCCGUGAUUCCACAAUUCUCUCAUCUUUAAGGUCCCUUCCACCCCAACCAUGCCGUGAUUCCACGAUUCUGUGACCUUUGAAGUCUCUUCCAACCCGUUUCUCCC